CGGGAUGUGAGAGUCGCGGGCGCUGCGCUUGGGGUCGGUGGCGGAGAAGACGGUGUAGACGAGGACGAAGGUGCCGAUGAUCUCCGCGCCAAGGGCGGCGCCGGUGGAGUAUCCGUCCGCCACCUCGUUGGUGCCGCCGCUAAGGGAGUUGUAGGGCUUCUUCAUGAAGGCCUUCACCAGCCCCACGCCGCAAAUGGCCCCCAGAGAUUGCGCCGCCAUGUACCCCACCGCCCUCAGCAGCGAGACCUUCCUCGCCAGCAGAAGCCCGAAGGUCACCGCCGGGUUGAUAUGCCCCCCUGCACAGCGAACAAGUCCAGACCGACUUAGAGAGAGAUAGAGAGAAAAAGUAAGAGAGAGAGAGAGAGAGAGAGAGANNNNNNNNNNNNNNNNNNNNACGACGACGAACGAACGACGACGACGACGUAGAGAGAGAGAGAGAAGAAGAAGAGAGAGAGAGAGAGAGAGAGAGAGAGGAGGCGAACCAGAGAUGCCGGCGGUGCAGUAGACGAGGACGAAGAUCAUGCCGCCGGCGGCCCAGGCGAUGCCAAGCAGGCCGACGCCGCCGCAGGCAUCGGCCUGCUUCUUGUGGCCGAUGAUGGUGGCCACUAAGACGUAGAGGAAUAGCAGGGUGGCAAUGAACUCUGCGAUCAGGGCUCUGUAGAAGGACCACAGACGGAGCUCCCCCAAGUCGAAGAGCGGUGCCGGCGGCGGAUCGCUGUAGUCCCUCGCCGCCUGCUGCGCCGACUCGACGCUCACCUCCUUCGUCAUCUCUGCGCUCGCUUCCCUCUGACACGACGACGAAGACCUCUUUCUUCUUCUUUUCCUUCUUCC
rnacentral:lncRNA from 1 species